GAGGGAGAACUUUAUGUCUCUGAACUUCGCACACAUGAAGGAGCACACACGUUCACACAUAUGCACCAUACAUGUACAAUAAUAGUAAGUAUUUAUGUAUUUACUUAUUUGAGACAGAGUUUCAGUAUGGAGCCUUAACUGACCCAGAACUCCAUAUGCAGUCCAGGUUGGCUUCAGACCCACAGAGAUCUUUGGAGUUUGUCUCCCGGAUGCUUGGAUUGCAGGAGUAGGCCAUCAUACCAGCUAAACAUUUUUUUCAGAGCCUGGAGAGCUGGCUCAGACAUUAAAAGAGGGCGGACUGCUCUUGCAGUUCAAUCCCACUGCCCACAUUGGACAGUUCACAGUCACGGCCUGUAACUCCAGCUCGGGCUCAGCCACCUCUUCUGCCAUCCGGGGCACCUGCAUUCAAAUGUAUACACCAUGUGCCUGCACACAAUUCAAAAGAAAUUCUGGACAAUGGUGAUGUACGCCUUUAGUUCUAGCACUUGGUAGGCAGAGGCAGGAAGAUCUUUGAGUUGGAGACUAGCCUGGUCUGCAUAGAGAGUUCCAGGACAGCCAGGGCUAUAUAGACCCUAACUCAAAAAACAAAGCAUUUAGCCAUAGAUAGAUACAUAGAUAGAUAGACAGAUAAAAUCUUUGGGUGGCUCAACAGUUAGGAGCAUUGACUGUUCUUCCAGAGGACCAAGAUUUGAUUCCCAACACCCACAUGGUGGUUCAUAACCCUCUGUAACUCCGUUCCAUGGAAUCCCAUGACCUCAUCUGGCCUCUUCAGGCACUGGGUAUGUACAUGAUGCACAGACAUACGUGUAGGCACAACACUCAUAUCCAAAAAUAUUUUUUAAAAAGAUUUAUUGAUUAUUAUAUCUAAGUACACUGUAGCUGUCUUCAGACACACCAGAAGAGGGCAUCAGAUUUCUUUAUGGAUGGUUGUGAGCCACCAUGUGGUUGCUGGGAUUUGAACUCACGACCUUCGGAAGAGCAGUUAGUGCUCUUAACCGUUCAGCUAUCUCUCCAGCCCCCAUAAAUAUUUUUUAAAGGGCACGUGUUCUUGUCCAUUCACACUCUAAAGUGGUUUAGGGACCGAUGAGAUGGAGCAGUGGGCAAAGGUGCGCAUUGCCAAGCCUGUCAGCCUGGAUUUGAUUCCUGGAACCCACAUGGCAAAAGUACAGAGCCAGCUCUCACAAACUGUCCUCUGACCUCCACACAUGUACUGUGGCAUGUGUCCCCACCUCCCCAUAAAAU
rnacentral:lncRNA from 1 species